rnacentral:rRNA from 1 species
UCUGCUUGAAGAUAUAAGGAGUCUAGCCUGCUCUCUGAUUGUUUUAAGGGCCGCGGUAAUUUGACCGUGCAAAGGUAGCAUAAUAGUUUGUUUUUUAAUUGGAAUCUUGUAUGAAUGGUUGGACAAAAGAAAUACUGUCUCUAUAAUUAUUAUUGAAUUUAACUUUUAAGUGAAAAGGCUUAAAUUAAUUAAAAAGACGAUAAGACCCUAUAAAGCUUUAUAAGUGAUUUUAUUUUAUUAAAUUAAAAAUAAAGAUUUAAUAAUUUAAUUAUUUUGUUGGGGAGAUAGUAAUUAUAAUUAAAAAUAACUGUUAAUAAAUUUAUAACAAAUAUAGGUGGAUUAAUAAAUAAAAGAUCCUUGCUAAAGAUUAAAAGUUUAAGUUACUUUAGGGAUAACAGCGUUAUUUUCUUUGAGAGUUCGUAUCGAAAAGAAAGAUUGCGACCUCGAUGUUGAAUUAAAAUUUCUAAAUAAUUGCAGAAGUUAUUUUAGAAGGUCUGUUCGACCUUUAAAUUUUUACA